AUACGUAGGGGGCGAGCGUUGUCCGGAAUGAUUGGGCGUAAAGGGCGCGUAGGCGGCGCGGUAAGUCUGGAGUGAAAGUCCUGCUUUCAAGGUGGGAAUUGCUUUGGAUACUGCCGCGCUUGAGUGCAGGAGAGGUUAUCGGAAUUCCCGGUGUAGCGGUGAAAUGCGUAGAGAUCGGGAGGAACACCAGUGGCGAAGGCGGGUAACUGGACUGCAACUGACGCUGAGGCGCGAAAGGGUGGGGAGCAAACAGGAUUAGAUACCCUGGUAGUCCACACUGUAAACGAUGAAUGCUAGGUGUAAGAGGUAUCGACCCCUUUUGUGCCGGAGUCAACACAAUAAGCAUACCGCCUGGGGAGUACGGCCGCAAGGUUGAAACUCAAAGGAAUUGACGGGG
rnacentral:rRNA from 1 species